GUUGUGUAAGGGCAGUGUAUGUGUAUAUGCGUGUUAAUGGGCAGAUGUGUGUGUAAAGGCAGUGUGUAUGUGUAAAUGUGUGUUUAUGGACAGGUGUGUGUAAGGACAGUGUAAAUAAAAUAACCUCUGUAAAAAAAAA